GUUCAGAAAUUUUUCUCAAGGGACCAUAUUCACAAAUUAAGUGCUGAGAUAUGUGCGAACAAAUACGAAGGAGAUGUGAUUUUUACAACACAGGAGAACUGACAAGCGCUUCUGUAAAGACAGACAGAGAAUUCAAAAUGAGAAGCAAGUUAGCGCUUCUGUAAAGACAGACGGAGAAUUCAAAAUGAGAAGCAAGUUAGGUAAUGGCAUGGAAAGUUGAAGAGGCACUUCCACAUGAUCAUCAAUAGAAUUCACAUA